rnacentral:rRNA from 1 species
AUACGGAGGAUCCGAGCGUUAUCCGGAUUUAUUGGGUUUAAAGGGUGCGCAGGCGGGAUGUUAAGUCGGCGGUGAAAUUUUGCAGCUCAACUGUAAAAGUGCCUUCGAUACUGGCUUCCUUGAGUGUGGAUGAAGUAGGCGGAAUUUGUGGUGUAGCGGUGAAAUGCUUAGAUAUCACGAGGAACUCCGAUUGCGCAGGCAGCUUAUUAAGCCACUACUGACGCUCAUGCACGAAGGCGUGGGGAUC